rnacentral:misc_RNA from 1 species
AACGCACCUUGCGCUCUAUGGCAAUCCGUAGAGCAUGCCUGUUUGAGUGCCAUGAAAUCUCCCACCCCAAGCGGUUUUUGAAUGAAACGGCUUGGCGGAUGGGGUCUGGAUGGGUGCCUCUGCCUGUGCUUACCUUUUAGCCCACAGGCUCGCCCGAAAUGCAUGAGCGCCUUGGGACACUUUGCAUCCGCCUCUCUUGUGGGAGGAGGCGGCCAAGCAGUGUUUUUCUCCAGGCAUGGCAUGAUACGUCAUUUGCUAUGUCGCCCAAUGGAGGAAUGUUUGGUUGUGUCUGCGUGUGCUUCGAACUUGCCUCUGUGCAAAUCCCCUUUCACUUCUGGUCUCAAAUCAGGUAGGAUCACCCGCUGAACUUAA